UGUUUUUGUUCCUAUUGUCGUAUCAACUAAAGCAUCUAAACAUGUAUUUGACAUAUUAGAAUCUGCAACUACACCAAUAGUAGCUCCCACCGCUAUAUAAGUAAUUGCUGCUAUGCAUAAUAGCAAUCAGAGCUUUUAUUUCAGCACCCUUUCAUUCAAUAGAUAUUUUAUAUAUCACUGCUAUAGGUGCAGGACCAAUAGCAUCCCUGCAAAUCAAGGGCAAGUUAUAAAACUCAAAAUACAACCCGUAAGAGCUCCUAUCACAGAUAUUAAUCCAAAAAAAAGAUUUAAUCUUCUUUAUCCAUACACUCCUCUCUUAACAAAUUACCAUUUUAUAUUGAUAUGCAAGGUUGCUAAGCUAAGAAGGUGUCUUGUAAUAGAAAGCCAAAUCAGUUAACUCUAAUUCUAAAAUAUC